rnacentral:rRNA from 1 species
AUUGAACGCUGGCGGCAGGCUUAACACAUGCAAGUCGAACGAGCGGCGGACGGGUGAGUAAUGUCUGGGAAACUCCCUUAUGGAGGGGGAUAACUACUGGAAACGGUAGCUAAUACCGCGUACCAUAGGAUGUGCCCACAUGGGAUUAGCUAGUAGGUGGGGUAAUGGUUCACCUAGGCGACGAUCCCUAGCUGGGCUGCGAGGAUGACCAGCAACACUGGAACUGAGAAACGGGCAAGACUCCUACGGGAGGCAGCAGUGGGGAAUAUUGCACAAUGGGAGCAAGGUUGAUGCAGCCAUGCAGCGUGGGUGAAGAAGGCAUUCGGGUUGUAAAGAUCGUUCAGUGAUUAGGCGUUACUUGCAGAAGAAGCACCGGCUAACUACGUGCCAGCCGCCGCGGUAAUAC